rnacentral:lncRNA from 1 species
AUGACUGCUUGGAGACCUUCUUGUUCUUUGAAACUUUCGCAUAUAUUUAUUUUGUCACCCUCCCUCUCUUUUUUUCUGGCUCUAAACCCUGGUACAGAACUCUUGAAGAGAAAAGGGACUCUGAGUUUGCAGCGGGCUCAGGAGAUGGGAAGACUGCAAGGUGGCAGCUGUGAGGUGAUGGCCCAGCUCCUGGACCUCAGGGAACUGAUCCAGGAGGUGCUCAAGGAAGCUGACAGCCAAGGAGGGAGGAGUGGGCCAUAUCUUGGAGGCCCCAAAUUAAGCUGUUCCUGACGGCCCCAGAAUGUGGCAGCCUCUCGUGUUUCUUCUGCUUGGCCUCUCUGAGAGCUGAUCUCUUUGAUUUAUUAUUCCCUCUCCUCUCUUAGUGUUAGCAGCAGAACCUACAAUGCUGCUCUGGGUUAGAGACCCAGAAGACUGUUCUUCAUUAAAGUUUUGCCUUAAAACCCAAUGGCCUGUGACUGAUGCUCAAUGGCUUUGUGACAUCUGUUUUGGCUGCUCUGAAGCCUAU